GGGCACAUGGUGUAGUUGGUUAUCACAUCCGCUUAGCAUAGGAGAAGCAUUGGAUCCACAAGCUUGCGGGGGGUGCUGGGUUCAAUUUCCCAGUGUGUCCA